UGGGGAAUAUUGGAUAAUGGGGGGAACCCUGAUCCAGCCAUGCCGAGUGUGUGAAGAAGGCCUUAUGGUUGUAAAGCACUUUAAGCGAGGAGGAGUGUACUGGUAUUAAUACUACCAGGUACUGGACGUCACUCGCAGAAUAAGCACCGGCUAACUCUGUGCCAGCAGCCGCGGUAAUACAGAGGGUGCGAGCGUUAAUCGGAUUUACUGGGCGUAAAGCGUGCGUAGGCGGCUAAUUGAGUCGGAUGUGAAAUCCCCGAGCUUAACUUGGGAAUUGCAUUCGAUACUGGUUAGCUAGAGUGUGGGAGAGGAUGGUAGAAUUCCAGGUGUAGCGGUGAAAUGCGUAGAGAUCUGGAGGAAUACCGAUGGCGAAGGCAGCCAUCUGGCCUAACACUGACGCUGAGGUACGAAAGAAUGGGGGGCAAACAGG
rnacentral:rRNA from 1 species